rnacentral:rRNA from 1 species
AUUGAACGCUGGCGGAAUGCUUUACACAUGCAAGUCGAACGGCAGCACGGACUUCGGUCUGGUGGCGAGUGGCGAACGGGUGAGUAAUGUAUCGGAACGUGCCCAGUCGUGGGGGAUAACGUAGUGAAAAUUACGCUAAUACCGCAUACGAUCUAUGGAUGAAAGCGGGGGAUCGCAAGACCUCGCGCGAUGGGAGCGGCCGAUAUCAGAUUAGGUAGUUGGUGGGGUAAAGGCCCACCAAGCCAACGAUCUGUAGCUGGUCUGAGAGGACGACCAACCACACUGGAACUGAGACACGGUCCAGACUCCUACGGGAGGCAGCAGUGGGGAAUUUUGGACAAUGGGCGAAAGCCUGAUCCAGCCAUUCCGCGUGCAGGAUGAAGGCCCUCGGGUUGUAAACUGCUUUUGUACAGAACGAAAAGGUUUCUACUAAUACUAGGAGCUCAUGACGGUACUGUAAGAAUAAGCACCGGCUAACUACGUGCCAGCAGCCGCGGUAA